rnacentral:piRNA from 1 species
GGAGAAACUGAAUUAAAGGGUCA